rnacentral:rRNA from 1 species
AUUGAACGCUGGCGGCAGGCCUAACACAUGCACGUCACGCGGGUGAGGGGAGCUUGCUCCUGGAUUCAGCGGCGGACGGGUGAGUAAUGCCUAGGAAUCUGCCUGGUAGUGGGGGAUAACGUCCGGAAACGGGCGCUAAUCCCGCAUACCUCCUGUGGGAGAAAGAGGGGGAUCUUCGCACCUCACGCUAUCAGAUAAGCCUAGGUCGGAUUAGCUAGUUGGUGGGGUAAAGGCCUACCAAGGCGACGCUCCGUACCUGGUCUGAGAGGAUGAUCAGUCACACUGGAACUGAGACACGGUCCAGACUCCUACGGGAGGCAGCAGUGGGGAAUAUUGGACAAUGGGCGAAAGCCUGAUCCAGCCAUGCCGCGUGUGUGAAGAAGGUCUUCGGAUUGUAAAGCACUUUAAGUUGGGAGGAAGGGCAGUAAGUUAAUACCUUGCUGUUUUGACGUUACCAACAGAAUAAGCACCGGCUAACUUCGUG